GUCUGUUGUAAAGAGCACAACGAGAGAAAGCAGUAGCUGGUGAGUCCAUAGCGUUCUAUAUCGUGUUUGCAGAUACCUCUGGGCCACAGCAAAUCUCCCCAUACCUCAGUUGUGACAAUAUGUUGGUUGAAAAGAAGUCAUAGGAGAAAUCCCUUUGAUUCUGGGAUACAACUCAGGAUCUUCCAUUGCCUUGUGGCUCUUGCAUGAAAGACCUGGACUCCUAUCAAAAACCUGGGAAAUGGAGCUUGGAAUAUAGCACUGAUAACAAGACUUUGGCUUCAAACAACCAAACCCACCCAUCUUGAGCUCUAAUGACACAGUCUGUUGUGGUUGAGGCCAUGGGAUUUGGACAUACAUUCACCUUGCUUUUGAUGAACAGAAAUUGAGACCAGAAGAAAGGGGACAACAUUUGGACCAGGGAUUCACCAAAGGGAAUAAGAUGAAAAGGGAAGGACUAGAUGGGUAGUGAAAAUACUGUCAUGACCAACAGAGUGGCCCAUUCAUCUGCUGUAAUUCAGGGCAUUAGUGCCUCGUAGGAUCAGCAUUGUCAAGGCUACCAACAAGAAUUGUUAUAGACUUCAGUAGUUUUUUAGAUGUGUUCCAUGGCAUUCUUUCAUGUAGAUCUCACAGUACAAUCCUGUACAGUAGCUUUCAUUGUUGUGGUAUGAUUGUAAUAAUAUUACUAUGAAAAGGAUCAUAAUAGGACGCACUGUAUUUUGUCAACCAGUAAUACAGAAUAUUGUACAUGGAUCUUUAUUUUACUCUAGAUAUAUUCCACAGAAGAAUUGACAUAUUUAUAAACAUAAUGAUUUGCUUUCCUGAACUUAAAGGUGCUAUACAGAAUUUUUUUGUUUAAUUUUUACAUUGUAAUUUCAAAAUAUUUCCAUAAUAUGUC